AGAGUUUGAUCCUGGCUCAGGAUGAACGCUAGCGGCAGGCCUAAUACAUGCAAGUCGAACGGGUCUAGGUAGCAAUACCUAGAUUAGUGGCGCACGGGUGCGUAACGCGUAUGCAACCUACCUUUUAUUGGGGGAUAGCCCGAAGAAAUUCGGAUUAAUACCGCAUAACACUGUUUGAGGGCAUCUGAAGACAGUUAAAGCUACGGCGAUAAAAGAUGGGCAUGCGCGUCAUUAGCUAGUUGGUAGAGGUAACGGCUCACCAAGGCAACGAUGACUAGGGGUUCUGAGAGGAUGAUCCCCCACACUGGUACUGAGAUACGGACCAGACUCCUACGGGAGGCAGCAGUAGGGAAUAUUGGGCAAUGGAGGCAACUCUGACCCAGCCAUGCCGCGUGAAGGAUGAAGGCCUUCUGGGUUGUAAACUUCUUUUAUCUAGGAAGAAAAUGUCCUUGCGAGGAAAACUGACGGUACUAGAUGAAUAAGCACCGGCUAACUCCGUGCCAGCAGCCGCGGUAAUACGGAGGGUGCAAGCGUUGUCCGGAUUUAUUGGGUUUAAAGGGUGCGUAGGCGGCUUAGUAAGUCCGUGGUGAAAGCCAACAGCUCAACUGUUGAACUGCCAUGGAUACUGCUAGGCUUGAGUACAGACGAGGUAGGCGGAAUGGAUAGUGUAGCGGUGAAAUGCAUAGAUACUAUCCAGAACACCGAUUGCGAAGGCAGCUUACUAGACUGUAACUGACGCUGAGGCACGAAAGCGUGGGGAGCGAACAGGAUUAGAUACCCUAGUAGUCC
rnacentral:rRNA from 1 species